rnacentral:rRNA from 1 species
GUGUCAGCAGCCGCGGUAAUACGAAGGGGGCUAGCGUUGUUCGGAAUUACUGGGCGUAAAGCGUACGUAGGCGGAUCUGUAAGUAGGGGGUGAAAUCCCCAGGCUCAACCUGGGAACUGCCUUCUAGACUGCAAGUCUUGAGAUCAGGAGAGGCGAGUGGAAUUCCGAGUGUAGAGGUGAAAUUCGUAGAUAUUCGGAGGAACACCAGUGGCGAAGGCGACUCGCUGGACUGAUACUGACGCUGAGGUACGAAAGCGUGGGGAGCAAACAGGAUUAGAAACCCCCGUAGUCC